CCUACGGGUGGCAGCAGUGGGGAAUAUUGCACAAUGGGGGAAACCCUGAUGCAGCGACGCCGCGUGAGCGAUGGAGUAUUUCGGUAUGUAAAGCUCUAUCAGCAGGGAAGCAAAUGACGGUACCUGACUAAGAAGCCCCGGCUACCUACGUGCCAGCAGCCGCGGUAAUACGUAGGGGGCAAGCGUUAUCCGGAUUUACUGGGUGUAAAGGGAGCGUAGACGGCGAUGCAAGCCAGAUGUGAAAGCCAGGGGCUCAACCCCGGGACUGCAUUUGAAACUGUAUAGCUGGAGUGUCGGAGAGGCAGGCGGAAUUCCCGGUGUAGCGGUGAAAUGCGUAGAUAUUAGGAGGAACACUAGUGGCGAAGGCGGGCUGCUGGACGAUGACUGACGUUGAGGCACGAAAGCGUGGGGAGCAAACAGGAUUAGAUACCCGUGUAGUC
rnacentral:rRNA from 1 species